rnacentral:rRNA from 1 species
AGAGUUUGAUCCUGGCUCAGGACGAACGCUGGCGGUGUGCUUCACACAUGCAAGUCGAGCGAAUGAAGUAGGUAGCUUGCUACUUAUGGAUUUAGCGGCGGACGGGUGAGUAAUAUAUAGGAAUCUGCCCUAGAGCGGGGAACAACAGACCGAAAGGUUUGCUAAUGCCCCAUAGGUACGCAGUCUUCGGAUUGUUUAUUAAAGGAGUAAUCCACUCUAGGAUGAGCCUGUAUCCGAUUAGCUAGUUGGCGGGGUAAAGGCCCACCAAGGCUACGAUCGGUAGUUGGUCUGAGAGGAUGAUCAGCCACAAUGGGACUGAGACACGGCCCAUACUCCUACGGGAGGCAGCAGUGGGGAAUUUUACACAAUGGGGGAAACCCUGAUGUAGCGACACCGCGUGAACGAAGAAGCCUUUUGGGGUGUAAAGUUCUGUCGGCUGGAACGAAAAAAAUGACGGUACCAGCAAAGGAAGCAUCGGCUAACUACGUGCCAGCAGCCGCGGUAAGACGUAGGAUGCAAGCGUUGUCCGGAUUUAUUGGGCGUAAAGAGUUCGUAGGCGGUUAUUUAAGUCUGGUGUUAAAUACUGUGGCCCAACCACAGAACUGCAUUGGAUACUGGAUGACUUGAGUGCGGUAGAGGCGAGUGGAAUUCCCAGUGUAGCGGUGAAAUGCGUAGA